AUUGAACGCUGGCGGCAGGCCUAACACAUGCAAGUCGAACGAGUGGCGGACGGGGGAGUAAUGUCUGGGAAAAUUCCUGAUGGAGGGGGAUAACUACUGUAAACGGUAGCUAAUACCGCAUACCAUCAGAUGUGCCCAGAUGGGAGUAGCUUGUUGGUGGGGUAACGGCUCACAAAGGGGACGAUCCCUAGCUGGUCUGAGAGGAUGACCAGCCACACUGGAAAUGAGACACGGGCCAGACUCUUACGGGAGGCAGCAGUGGGGAAUAUUGCACAAUGGGCGCAAGCCUGAUGCAGUCAUGCCGCGUGUAUGAAGAAGGCCUUCGGGUUGUAAAGUACGUUCAGCGGGGAGGCGUUACCCGCAGAAGAAGCACCGGCUAACUCCGUGCCAGCCGCCGCGGUAAUUC
rnacentral:rRNA from 1 species